UGAGCUAACCCGUAAGGGAGGCAGCGACCUAAGGUAGGGUCAGCGAUUGGGGUGAAGUCGUAACAAGGUAGCCGUAGGAGAACCUGCGGCUGGAUCACCUCCUUUCUAUGGAGAAAU
rnacentral:rRNA from 1 species